rnacentral:rRNA from 1 species
CCUACGGGUGGCAGCAGUGAGGAAUAUUGGUCAAUGGACGCAAGCCUGACCCAGCAACGCCGCGUGAAGGAAGAAGGCUCUCUGGGUGGAAACUUCUUUUUUCAGGGACGAAGAGAGUGACGUUACCUGAGGAAUAAGCCUCGGCUAACUACGUGCCAGCAGCAGCGGUAAUACGUCGGUGGCAAGCGUUAUCCGGAUUUGUUGGGUGUAAAGGUCGUGUAGGCGGGAGCGUAAGUCAGAUGUGAAAACUUAGGGCUCAACCCUGAUCCUGCAUUUGAUACUGGGUUUCUUGAGUGCUGGAGAGGCAGUCGGAAUUCGGGGUGUAGCGGUGAAAUGCGUAGAUAUACGGAGGAACACCAGUGGCGAAGGCGGAUUGCUGGACAGUAACUGACGCUGAGGCGCGAAAGUGUGGGGAGCAAACAGGAUUAGAUACCCUAGUAGUC